UACGGAAGGCAGCAGUGGGGAAUAUUGCACAAUGGGCGAAAGCCUGAUGCAGCUAUGCCGCGUGUAUGAAGAAGGCCUUAGGGUUGUAAAGUACUUUCAUCGGGGAGGAAAAACAAAACUAAUAAUUUUAUUUCUUGACGUUACCCGAAAAAGAAGCACCGGCUAACUCCGUGCCAGCAGCCGCGGUAAUACGGAGGGUGCUAGCGUUAAUCAGAAUUACUGGGCGUAAAGAGCACGUAGGUGGUUUUUUUAAGUCAGAUGUGAAAUCCCUGGGCUUUAACCUAGGAACUGCAUUUUGAAACUGAAAUACUAGAGUAUCGUAGAGGGAGGUAGAAUUCUAGGUGUAGCGGUGAAAUGCGUAGAUAUCUGGAGGAAUACCUGUGGCGAAAGCGGCCUCCUAAACGAAUACUGACACUGAGGGUGCGAAAGCGUGGGGAGCAAACAGGGAUUAGAUA
rnacentral:rRNA from 1 species